rnacentral:lncRNA from 1 species
CUGAAAUACCAAAUCAAUGAGAUCCUUGGAAGCGUCCCUGAGAUGAAUACCUGAUGUUUCUUGCAAGCCAGGGAGACCUCAAUUAUCCUCUUCUUUGACAGAAGGAGAAGGACCAGGGUGAGCAGGCUGGGGAGGGAGGAAUUGUCUAUAUUCCACUCAAAUGGUAAAAGCAACACGUCCAUUCAGCGGCUCCCAGUUACAAUGCCAACUCUACUCUCCUUCCAGCAAUUAGAAACGACACAUGGAGGCCCGGCACAGUGGCUCAUGCCUGUAAUCCCAGCCCUUUGGGAGGCUGAGGCAGGUGGAUCACUUGAGGCCAGGAGUUCGAGACCAGCUUGGCCAACUUGGCUAAACCCUGUCUCUACUAAAACAAAAUAUUAGCUGGGUGUGGUGGUGCAUGCUUGUAAUUCCAGCUACUCGGGAGGCUGAAGCACAAGAAUCACUUGAACCUGGAAGGCAGAGGCUGCAGUGAGCUGAGAUCUCACCAUUGCACUCCAGCCUGGGUGACAGAGCGAGACCCUGUUUCAGGAAAAAAUAAAAAUAAAAAACAUAAGGGCUGGGCGCAGUGGCUCAUGCCUAUAAUCCCAGCACUUUGGGAGGCCGAGACGGGUGGAUCACUUGAGGUCAGGAGUUUGAGACCAGCCUGGCCAAUAUGCUGUAACCCUGUCUCUACUAAAAAUAUAAAAAUUAGUGGGGCAUGGUGGUGCACACCUGUAAUCUCAGCUACUCAGGAAGCUAAGGCAGGAGAAUUGCUUGAAUUGCUUCAACCUGGGAGGUGGAGGUUGCAGUCUGGGCAACAGAUUAAGACUCCGUCUAAAAAAAGAAAAAAAAAAAGAAAUGACACACAGAAUGAAGACACAUAGCAGCUCAACAAGCCUAAUAUUACAAGAGGACAAGAGAUGGAGGGGCUGCCCACAAGGUGUGGUUUCAGAAGUUCAACCUGUUGGCUGCUACUUAGAUUUUACUCUCAGUGUCUCCUUCCUCUAGCUUGAGGCUCUGAACGUGUGUGUGUGUGUGUGUGUGUGUGUGUGUGUGUG